AACAAGGUUUCCGUAGGUGAACCUGCGGAAGGAUCAUUAUUGAAUAAACCUGAUGGGUUGUUGCUGGCUUCUAGGAGCAUGUGCACGCCUAUCAUCUUUAUCCAUCCACCUGUGCACCUUUUGUAGUCUUGGAGUAAUGAGUGUAACACAUAUCGAGGAACAACUUUGGUCCUCGGAUAGAGGUCUUGCUAUGCGAUAGUGUGGCUGACCUUACUACUUGCACAAGUUCUCUGAGUCUAUGUAUUUCAUAUACCACAUAAAAUGUAAAAGAAUGUUUUUAUUGGGUCGUAGUGCCUAUAAAAUAAAAUACAACUUUCAGCAACGGAUCUCUUGGCUCUCGCAUCGAUGAAGAACGCAGCGAAAUGCGAUAAGUAAUGUGAAUUGCAGAAUUCAGUGAAUCAUCGAAUCUUUGAACGCACCUUGCGCUCCUUGGUAUUCCGAGGAGCAUGCCUGUUUGAGUGUCAUUUAAUUCUCAACCCCUCUAGCUUUUCGUGGCUGGCUUGGUGGCUUGGAUGUGGGGGAUUGAUUUUGCGGGCCUCUUUAGAGGUCAGCUCCCCUGAAAUGCAUUAGUGGAACCGUUUGCGGACCUGUUCACUGGUGUGAUAAUUAUCAUCACCGAAGACAACCGCUCUCAUGUAGUUCUGCUUCUAAUCGUCCUUUUCUAUGGACAACAUUGUUUGAAUGCUGACCUCAAAUCA
rnacentral:rRNA from 1 species